GACGAGCGCUGGCGGCGUGCUUAACACAUGCAAGUCGAACGGAGCUUCUUGGAUAGAGACUUCGGUCAAUUGAAUUGAAGCUUAGUGGCGGACUGGUGAGUAACGCGUGAGGAACCUGCCUUUCAGAGGGGGACAACAGUUGGAAACGACUGCUAAUACCGCAUGACGCAUGACCGGGGCAUCCCGGACAUGCCAAAGAUUUUAUCGCUGAAAGAUGGCCUCGCGUCUGAUUAGCUAGUUGGUGGGGUAACGGCCCACCAAGGCGACGAUCAGUAGCCGGACUGAGAGGUUGACCGGCCACAUUGGGACUGAGAUACGGCCCAG
rnacentral:rRNA from 1 species